AGACGUAGGGGGCGAGCGUUGUCCGGAAUCACUGGGCGUAAAGGGUGCGUAGGCGGUCAUGCAAGUCCGAGGUGAAAGACCGGUGCUCAACGCCGGGGGUGCCUUGGAAACUGUAUGACUUGAGUGCUGGAGAGGCAAGGGGAAUUCCGCAUGUAGCGGUGAAAUGCGUAGAUAUGCGGAGGAAUACCAGUGGCGAAGGCGCCUUGCUGGACAGUGACUGACGCUGAGGCACGAAAGCGUGGGGAGCAAACAGGAUUAGAUACCCUGGUAGUCCACGCUGUAAACGAUGAGUGCUAGGUGUUGUGGGGGAGACCUCACAGUGCCGAAGGAAACCCAAUAAGCACUCCGCCUGGGGAGUACGGUCGCAAGACUGAA
rnacentral:rRNA from 1 species